CCUACGGGAGGCAGCAGUGGGGAAUAUUGGGCAAUGGGCGCAAGCCUGACCCAGCCACGCCGCGUGAAGGAAGAAGGCUUUCGGGUUGUAAACUUCUUUUCUCAGGGACGAAGAAAGUGACGGUACCUGAGUAAUAAGCCACGGCUAACUACGCGCCAGCAGCUGCGGUAAUACGUAGGCGGCAAGCGUUAUCCGGAUUUAUUGGGUGUAAAGGGCGUGUAGGCGGGAGCGCAAGUCAGAUGUGAAAACUUCGGGCUUAACCCUCAGCCUGCAUUUGAUACUGUGUUUCUUGAGUGCUGGAGAGGCAAUCGGAAUUCCGUGUGUAGCGGUGAAAUGCGUAGAUAUACGGAGGAACACCAGUGGCGAAGGCGGCUUGCUGGACAGAAACUGACGCUGAGGCGCGAAAGCGUGGGGAGCAAACAGGAUUAGAUACCCCAGUAGUC
rnacentral:rRNA from 1 species